UACUUCCUGAUUAACAGUGAGAGGACUUUUCCCAGAAGCCUUGGAGAUGGCGUCCUCUCCUCUCUCAUUGGUCAGAACUGGGUCACAUGCUCACGCCUGACCAAUCACUGGCUACGGCUACCAUCUUGGCUGGCAGCCUCGGUUCUCCACUGGGGGCGGUGUGGUCUGCCUCUCCCUCCAGGGCAAAGUCUGGAGAUGGUUUUGCUUUUUACCACUGAGUGUGUGUGUGUGGGUGGUGCUACUAGUAUCUAUCCUGCAGGGGCCAAGGAUGCUACAAGAGUCCUUUAUGGCUAGGACGGUCCCCACAGCAAUGAUCUGUGGUGCAGAGGUUGGGAAACCCUGGCAGAGGGCAGAAAGGACUUAGCUCCUAGCUUCAUGAGGGAGGAGUGAAGAAGUGGGAGCUCUGGCAGUGUGGACGUGGGCACCCGGGAGCCGGGUGUGUUCGACUGUCUGUGGCAGAAGGACCGUGCAUUUUUGAUGACUGAUGUCGUAGGACACGUGAGCAGCUCUUUUUGCAAAACAUCUCUGGAAGCCUCUGUCAGACAGUGCGGUGGCCCGAACGGCCAUUGGCCUGGCCCAGUCUGGCGUGUCUUAUCUCCGUCAGGCUCGGUGCCAAGCGCUGAGGGCAGGACGUCGCCUCUGGCAGGAGAUGAGUCAGGAUUGAUUGAUGGUGAAGCGGUGUCCCCCUCUGACCUGCUCUCUCUCCUGUAGCUGGAGCGGCCAGUUUGCAGGAGGUCUGAGGCCUGCUGGCCGGGAGGAGACUGAGUACACAGAGGCCGUGGGAACCCGAGGGGAGGAGAAGACUUCCACUUUCUUCUUUUUGGAGAAAGGGGGACUGUGUUGAGCACGACACUAACUGGUAGUUCUGAACUGGUGGGGGGCCUGCCCUCGGUCAUCCCUUAUCGGCAGUCACGAGUCGGUCCUGCAGCCUGGUGAUACAAAGCACCAAGAAAGGCUUUGGCCAGUUAGCAGGAACUGUCACUAACUCCAAGAAGACUAUGACACCAGCCAAGGUACCCCCAAAACAAUUUUUAAAAAGAAUGAUUUUGAAUUGUCUUUUUCCAGGAGAUUAGUCAUAGUAAAUGUUUAAUUCAAGACCAGUUUCUCUGUAUUGCCUAAUGAUUGUCAUUGAUUAGGGGACAGUCACCUGCUCGUUGCUUAACUUAAUGGAUCACAGUCCUCACAAACUUAUCUGCAAAUAUUGACCAAUCACUGUAAAGUAGAGCAUGACUUGUGCCCUGUGCUGGUGUUAGAGAUGGAAUGUGAAAAGCAUCCAUUCCCUGCCCCCAGGAGCUCGCGGUUGAGUAGGGGAGGUAGACUCUAUCUAUGGAGAGGUGGUAAGAGGAAUCCAGCAGGCAUGGGGCAGCAUUUGAAUGAAGAACACACUCAUCUAUUUCACCGACCUUUAUUGAGCAUCUACUAUAUAUGAGCCACUGGCGAUCGAGAAAUUGAAAAAUCCUGUAUUUUUCCUACACAGCUGAUUCCCCAAGAGUUUUUCAAGAGCCGUCAUAGAGCAGGAGGGUGCUCGUUCUGUAUUUAUCAAAGAUGAAGAAACAAGCCCAAAGACGUGGUGACCCCUCUGAGACGGAGAGGCCCUCACCUAAGAGACAUGUUCAUUUCACAGAACCUGGAGACAGCUCUUGCCUUAGGAGCUUGCUGGCUUCUUCAAAGCAGGGCUUUUAUAUAACCAUCAGCUUCAGGGAGCAGGCAGCAGAGUGACGAAUCUCUUUACAGACGCCUUGUCAUUUUAUUGAAAAUUUUACAGAAGAGGCUCCUUCAUUGUCAAGUCCACACCCCACCCGAUACUUUGAAAAUAUGAUUCCAAAUGUUUUAAGAGUCACUUUGCACACCUCUCCCCUGGAACUGGCACUCUGUGCACUCCUGUGGGCUGCUUCCCCAAGUUGAUGCCCCCCGCCUCAUGUGUGGACAUGAUUGCGUUCACGUCCACAGCUGCUGUGGCAGAGCCAUCCCGGGCUCAGCACGUGAGACAUAAAGCCCAAGAGGUUUUCCUUUUCGUUCUUGGUGACAGGGUACAAAUGUCUCCCUUGCUUCUCCCUCCAGAACGUGGACACCUUAACAGCAACAACUGUAUCUCCGCAGCCUUAAGUGGCCUCUGAGAUCACAGAUGUCAGUAACUAUUUGCUGAGUUAAUAGAUGGUCUCCAUUUAAAUGACUCUUGACCAGAGAGCAGAAAUUCGGCCAAGACACAGGGAGGGAGCUUGAAAAGAAGGGACGAUGGCGGGGGUGGGGGUUUCACACUCGUCAAUACGUAAAAACAAAAUAAAAACUCUUGGGCCCAAGACAGAAUAGACGGCAUCAAGAACAAAAUCUUUCCAUCUGAAAAUGCCUGGCUCUUGCGUUUGGGUCCUUUUUGGGUGCGUGGAUUUGCAGGUGACAGGAGGAAGUGCAGGCAGGUACCCAAACGAGUACCCCGUGGACCCUCCCUGAUCCCUGCACAGCCAGCCGGAGAGCAGCAGCCGACCACCUCUGGGGGAGAGGCACCUCCGUCCUGUCAUCAUCUCGAGCACAGAGGGGAUAGGAACGAGCGCGGGUCUAUUAUAUUUUUUGCCAGAACCGACAGUAGCAUUGGUGAUGGGAGAAAUGUCACGGUGUAACAUUUAAAGAUUAAAAACAAAAAUCCACCGAGAGCAGGAGGCUGCCUUGGGAAGUGUCUGGAGAGGAUUCCUUCCUGUUCACGGGCAGCCCAGCCUGCACCCUGCCUGUGCCCUGUCUCCAAGGCCCGGGUCCAUUUCCUGGAUACUCCACGAGCUUCUGCUUUAACUGGCCACAUCAUCAAACAAUGAGAACCCCGCAUGAAUGAGGCAGGGCGCCUGGGAAGCGCAGAUGAGAUCACCUAAGGGAGCUUUCCUGCUACAGUGGCCAUCUAGUCCCCUGCUACCCCAGAUGCAAAGGCCCCGCUGGAAAGAACUGUGCCCUCUGGGCAGCUCCUCCAGCAACCGCACCAUGCUCUGUGAGUGUAGACCUGUCAUCUCGAGGCUCUUCCUGCUGUGCUGGACACCCGUGUUUGGAUCGCUGCUCUGGCUCUCAUUGCCCGGGAACUUCUGUGGCUCUGUGCCUCAGUUUCCUCAUCUUCAAAGUGGGCACACUCAUAGUGCCUGCUCACAGAUUGGAGGAGAACUGGCGGAGCCUGGCGCAGGCUGGCAGAGGGCACGCAUGAGAAAUGUCAGUUAUUAUUAUUCUUUUUGAAAAAAAAUCUUGCUGUGUUUAUUAUUCAUUAAACAAGAUUGCAGGACCGACUCGGUAGAAAUGGGCAGAGGGAUGCGGGCACCAUCCCAUGUAUUUUAUACCUGCCCUGCCAGACCCCCCCGGGAGGGCUUCCAGAUGAGGUCCCUUUUGUCAUAAAUCCAAAUGUCUCUUCAUGCCUAUCUGCAUUUUGAUGCUGGGAUUAGAUGCUCUGUGUUGUGUGGAUGUUGGAAUAUUUAUUUAUUUAUCUUGUUUUCAGAUCUGUUCUUUGUUCUAAUUGGCCAUCUGUGACAGUAGGAUGCACUCUGACACAUCAUGCGUACAUGGGGUCUAACUUCUCAUUCUUCUGGUUAUGCAUGGUUGGAAUCACACCAGUGUGUGAUCAUGUGUGUACAUAGGGUGAUCAUAUCCGAUUCAUUCUACUAUCCUUCCUACCCACCCUCCAUUCCUUUCUGCCUAAUCCAGAGCACCUCUGUUCUUCCUCCCUAGCUCCCUCUCCCCCCUUUAUUGUGAAUUAGCAUCCACAUCUCAGAGAAAAAAAUUGGCCUUGGUAUUUUUGAGAUUGGCUUAUUUGCUUAGCAUGAUCGGGUAUCGAUUAUCAAUGAUGACAGUGGUAUUUCCAAUGGCUUGGCAGAACCCAGAGGCACCCCGGCUCGUCCUUUGGAAAAUGUACUAUGUCCUCGCCUCUCCAGGGGAGGAACGUCCUGCACUUCUCGAGGGGACUGUGUGGGUGUAGGAGGAGGCGCCCCUGGAGUGAUUUGUCCAGGCCAAGACAGUGGGGACAGACGACGGUGGAAAGGGACACGUGUCCAAGGACAAGGGAGCCUUCUGCUUCCCGAUCUGUAGGUUCCAGCGUCACUUCCCAUCCACUCCGGGAGCCGCCGCGCCUGUGAGCGGCAGUUUGUGAUUCCUCGGCCUCGUCGAUGCCCAGGGCCCGGCGAGCCCCUCAGACCUCCGCCACCCCGCUCCACUGUCUCCUUCACGGGUCCCCUUUCCUUCCCCCCGUCUCUUGGUCUAGCCCCCAUCUUUCCCUCUCCUCCCCUCCCCACCUUCCUGACUCUCCCUGGCCCCUCCCCACUUCAACGAUUGAUUUUUUCCCCCUUCAUUCAUUCUUGGACCAAGGGAGUCUGUGUCUGAACUAAACGCUCAUUUCACGUGCUCAGAAAAUAAACAGUUGACCCCUGGAAUAGCCACUGCGUGUCUACAAGUGGCCUCUCGCGCCGCUCGAUGGCUCUUCACUCGCCAUAGAGUCAUUGCCGAGCAGAAGCCGGCGCCUCCCUCUUCAGCGAGCGGAGGGCAGCUGAUCCUGUGGGGCCUCCCCGGCAGGGCUCACCUCCUCUGUGCCGUCCACUCCACCCACCGCCUGAACGGGACCACCGCAGAACCAAGAGUCGCUGAAGCCAGGUGCACCCCGGCGCCUUGUGACUUCCAGCAGUAGCGGGGGAUGGAGAGGAGGUGGCGAGGGUGUGCUGAGACCAAGAGUGCUUUCUUUUUGAAUAUUCUUUAGUUGUAGUUGGACACAACACCUGUAUUUCACUUAUUCAUUUUUAUCUGGUGCUGAGGAUCGGACCCAGGGCCUCGCACGUGCCAGGCGGGUGCUCUACUGCUGAGCCCAGCCCCAGCACCAGCCCCACGUCCUGGCUUUUUGAUUUGGCAAAAAUACCAUCAGGUCCUCUUCACAGGAGUGUCCAGCGAGCCGCAGGCCCACCUGAGUGGGCAGCCACCCAAGGGGAGUCUCACCUGAGGCCUUCUGCAGAGGCAGGUACUGUGGUGCUCACAGCUUGUCCUGGGCUCCAGUUCUGGCUCUGCUGCCCUCGGGUGAGUUAUCUAACCUCUCUGAGCCUCCGUCUGUGCUUCUGUACAAGCCCAUGAGGAAGGAUUGAUUAAUUAAUGGCAUAACUAAUUGAUUAAGGGCACCACGUGAGCCACGCCUGGCGUGAGGGGUGGGCUUAGCAAAUUCUUGUCAUCGGUUCUCACUGUUUUGAGGCUGUUCUCUUUGCAGGUGGCAUGGCACCACGGCCCAGGCUCCUAGGCCACCGGGCACCUGGGACUCUGUGUGACAAAGAGCUCUCUAGAAGAUCUGUGGAAAUGAGCAGACCGGGGGCCACCUGUGCUGUUUCCGUCUGCAGGUGAACUCACCAGGCAAUCAGCCCAUUCAUGUCAACAUGCACCAAGGCGCCUCCUGAGAAGAGGAAGGUGGGGAGGCCUGGUUGGUGUCCUCACCCCCCAUCCUUCCUUCGUUCCCUUCUCUCCUGAAGGAGGCUUCCUGGUACUCCCAUCAGCAGUGACAGCAGGAAGUGGGUUCCCACUGGGCUUCCCGUCCUGCCCUCUUCCCCUCCUGGUUACAGGUCUGUGCCGGGUCACCACCACCUCGGCCUCCAGAGCUGCAGUCCCGGGGCCUGCUUUGAAGGUUGAGGUAUCAAGCGCUCCCAGACACACAGGCUGCAUGUUUGCUGGAUAUGUUGGGCUCGUGGCUGGGGGUUCCCGAGCUGGAGGUACCCUCGCUCCACUGUGGGGUGCAGCUGGAGGACCAGGAGCAGCUUGGGGUCACCCUUGGCCUAUGCAGCCUGGAGAGCCAGCUGACUCCGCCGUCCCCGCCAUCUCCGCACCCCAGGCCGUGCCCGCUCCCUGCUGGUGGAGCCCUCUGUUUCUGGGCUCAGGAAAGCCGCUGGCCACCUGGCCGUGGAGGCAGCCAGCUCCCCUGUACCUUCCUGAAUGGAGGCUUUCCUCUCCGGCUUCCUCCACUCACCUGACACAGGGCUGUCCCAUCCUGAGGGAUGUCGGGACUCUGAAGCGCGGGCCGCGUCGAUCACGCACCAUCUUGUGUGACUUUCUAGUGGGGCUUCUCCUGGGCCAGAUCUUAACACCUCAAGAACACUGUGGCUGUGGCAUUUCCCCCGUGUGCAUGGCGUGAUGGUGAACACGGGCUCCUACCAGAUACUCGUCCCUUGACUGUGGUGGGGACGGAGUCCUGUGAGCCUGUUCACUCUCUCAGUCCCCAGUUACACAUCAUCCCACACCGUCAGCCAGCCACAGUGUUAAGACCAGAGAGAGAG